GAGUCGGAGUCGGUUCAUUUUUUGCCGACUCCGACUCCAGGUACCCAAAAUUGCCUCCGACUCCACAGCCCUGAAAUAAACACAGUUAUUUAAACAGUUAAAAGUCACAGUUAUUGUAAAAAAAAAACAGUUUUCACAACUUUUUUUUUAUUUGUGAUUUUUCAGUUCAGACCUUUUGAUAAUGACUUCCAUUAGUGGAAACUAGUUUUUUUUUUUGUGGUUUCAAACAAGUUUUUUUUGUUGAUUUCCUGUGCCGUUACUAAAAUGUAUCAAAUGACUGAUAUUUAGAAAACAAAUUGUCAAGAAAUCACUUGAAAUAAAGUCAGGACCAUGUAGGAUUUUCUUAUUAUUAUUGUCUGUGUACUGCUAAUCAGUAUUCACUAUUCCAUUCUGUGACAUAACAAUUAACAGCAGGGUUAAAGCAGGGAGUUGGUGACAUCACACAAUAUGCAAAUGAGCAGAGGAGGAGUCAGGAGUCACAUGGAAUUGUGAGUCAUUUCCAGUAGGUUUUUGCCAUGGAAACAUUUAGAUUUCUAUUAUUUUUUAUUUUUUUGAUAAUAUUCUUACUCUAUUAAAGUGCAUAUCCGACUACAAGUAAAAUGUUGUUUUACAGAAUACUGUAUUUGUUAAAGCAUAGUAAUUUGCAAGUAAAUACACAUUAUUAAUGUUUCUAUUUAAUGUGAAUUACCAAUUUCAUCACCUGUAUUUAUAUUUUAUAAAUAACUCACUGCUAUUGGAGAUAUAUAGAUUUGGGUCAGACUAAAUUGACUAAUUAAAGUAUUAAUUAGUAAACACUGGAAGCAGCUGUGGGAUUUAUGAUUAAGGAAUAACAAAUUGUUCCCUCUCUUGCAGAAGCAACUCAAUAUAAUGACGACGAUGAUGCUUAUAUAGAUGAGGUUACAACUGGUAAGAUAUAAACUCAGUGAAGGUAUAUAAGUAAUUCAAUAUUUUAUUUUUCAUUGCAGUAGAAAAUGCAUUUGCUGAGAGUGAAACAGAAAAGAAUGUUACAUAUAGAGGCAUUGUGGCUGCUGAAACAAAAGGCACCAAAAAUCAGAUAAUCAGCACUGCAGGAUAGCUAAUUGGUUUGUUAGCAGCUGGAGGGUUAAUAUAUUAUUUUGUAAUAAAGCGAUAUUUCAAAAGAUGAAUUAAAUGAAGCAGAGGAAGGUGAGGCAGAACAGCUCAAAGAGAAUGAAGAAAAUGAUGAAUCUGAGGAGGAGGAUGAAACCCCAAAGAGAAAAAAAGUGAUAAAGAAGAAAGUAAAAAAGAAAAGAGCGGAUGAUGAAUCUGAGGAUGAGGAAGAAGCACAAAA